UCCCUGGUGGUCCAGUGGUUAAGACUCUGCACUUCCACUGCAGGGAGCAUGGGUUUGAUCCCUUGCUGGAGAA
rnacentral:tRNA from 1 species